rnacentral:lncRNA from 1 species
AUUUGGACAACACCAUCGACGGUUUGUACAUCGCUCCUGCCUUCAUGGACAAGCUCGUUGUUCACAUAACCAAGAACUACAUGUCCUUGCCUGGCAUCAAGGUAAAUGUACUUGAUAUCAUAUAGUAUUAAUGUGAAGCAUUAUGUAUGUAACCCGUACUCAUCAUAGUAUUAGUAAUGGCUAAUCGCAGACUCCGAUAAGUGGAACUGUACUACCUUACGCAGCCACGUGUAAUAAAAAUAAAAUAUUUUCUAAAUAAACAAUUUUAACCUCCACACUAGUACGCAAAGGACAUUCGUAAUUAACUGGUGAGUAUCGAUUUUAUUAAAAUACCUCCUUCAGUACUGAACCAUCUUUUAACAAGAUCCAUCACCUAAGUAGUCUCUGUAAUUGCCAUGCCAUGGAAAGUUGAUAGUUUCCCCCUUAUUGUGGAAUAGGUCCCCCUCAUCCUGGGUGUCUGGGGAGGCAAAGGUCAAGGAAAAUCUUUCCAGUGUGAGCUCGUCUUUGCCAAGAUGGGAAUCAAGUGAGUUUUAUAUAGUUGUUCUUGUUUUCAUAGUUCAAGUUCUCCACAAGAAAAAUGUGAAGGUCGGUUCAUAAGUUGAGUACAAAAACACGAGUCUUGACUUACUGGGGUUAAUUAUUGAUUGGGUUUUUCAGCCCUAUCAUGAUGAGUGCCGGAGAACUGGAAAGCGGAAAUGCAGGAGAGCCAGCCAAGCUUAUCAGGCAAAGAUACAGAGAAGCAGCUGACAUUAUCAGGAAGGGAAAAAUGUGCUGUCUCUUCAUCAACGAUCUUGAUGCCGGUGCUGGUCGUCUCGGUGGAACUACACAAUACACUGUUAACAACCAGAUGGUUAACGCCACCCUCAUGAACAUUGCUGAUAACCCCACCUGUGUCCAACUCCCCGGUAUGUACAACAAAGAAGAGAACCCCCGUGUGCCCGUCAUUGUCACCGGUAAUGAUUUC